UGAGGGAGAUUAGAACCAAUAGGAGGUUAAAGGAAAACAUCUGGUCCUUCACCGUAAUCACCAAUAGAGAGGUGGAUCUUCCUUGGGGGAGGAGCGGCCCAUCUGACCACCGACCCUACAACAUGCCAUAGAAUGCUUGCUCCACAGGGGAGACUGCCUCUGUCAUUCUGCAGGAAAUGCACUCAAAGCUUCAGAAAAAUUAAUAAGGUCCUGUACAAUUAAUCACCCAAAGGAAUGACAAAACAGCUCUCAAAAUGGCAUCUUGAAAUGUGCCAAUUUUAUCUGUUAUCUC
ensembl:lncRNA